GAAAAGUGACGGUACCUGCAGAAGAAGCGCCGGCUAACUACGUGCCAGCAGCCGCGGUAAUACGUAGGGCGCAAGCGUUGUCCGGAAUUAUUGGGCGUAAAGAGCUUGUAGGUGGCUUGUCGCGUCUGCCGUGAAAACCCGAGGCUCAACCUCGGGCGUGCGGUGGGUACGGGCAGGCUAGAGUGUGGUAGGGGAGACUGGAACUCCUGGUGUAGCGGUGAAAUGCGCAGAUAUCAGGAAGAACACCGAUGGCGAAGGCAGGUCUCUGGGCCAUUACUGACACUGAGAAGCGAAAGCAUGGGUAGCGAACAGGAUUAGAUACCCUGGUAGUCCAUGCCGUAAACGUUGGGCACUAGGUG
rnacentral:rRNA from 1 species